UUCGGGUUCUCGGUCGAGCGGACGGCCCCGACGCCAGCCGCACACACACAGCCGAGCUGCUCACAGCCUC
rnacentral:tRNA from 1 species